rnacentral:lncRNA from 1 species
AUAAUAUAAGUAUAACAACAUAUAUAUAAAUGACCGUUGCGGGCUGUUUUCUUUUGUUUUCUGCAUCACCAGUUGUAAGUUUUAAUCAGGGUCAGACAUAGCUUAGAAAUAACUUGAUGUUAAAUAUGUUCAAUUGAUCGAUAGGGAAGUUCGAUACAUUUCAUACAAUCUUUAAUCUUAUAUAUGAUUCCGCAAACAGUAUGAGCUAUUUCUGUAAAACGAACGAUAAAGUCAAUUUAAUCAACAAAGAAACAAGAUAACUUAUAAUUAAAAAAAAAACACAC